GUUUAGAAAGACCCUUAUAAAGUCACUUCAAGAUAAGGAAGAAGGUUCUUCGGGAGGUGUGCCUAUUGCCAAGCCAACACCAACUGGUACACUCACAGACAAUGGAACAAAGAAGACCGAUUAUUUUAAAGGCACAUAGCCAGAGACACAGUUAAGGCUUUGCUCAAGUAUUGGAGUUCUGAGUUUGUGAAGGUAUUUU